GUAGGAAUCCGGGCGGAGUCUUCCUGCAAUUAAAGUUAAAGGCGAAGUCCGGCUCCCGUAGGAGUCCGGACAAGGCUUACCGGCAGUUGAUGUUGAGGAUGGAGCCCGGCUCCCGUAGGAGUUCGGGCGGAGUCUACCUGCAGUUGAAGUUGUCGGUGGAGUCCGGCUCCCGUAGGAGUCCGGAUGAAGUCUAUCUGCCGCCGUUGGAAUCGAGGAUGAAGCCCGGCUCCCGUAGGAGCUUGGGUGGAGUCUUCCAGCAAUUAAAGUUAAAGGCGAAGUUCGGCUCCCGUAGGAGUCCGGACAAGGCUUACCAGCAGUUGAUGUUGAGGACGGAGCCCGACUCCCGUAGGAGUUCGGGCGGAGUCUACUUGCAGUUGAAGUUGUCGGCGGAGUCCGGCUCCCGUAGGAGUCCGGACGAAGUCUGUCUGCAGCCGUUGGAGACGAGG
rnacentral:lncRNA from 1 species